UACGGAGGGGACUAGCGUUGUUCGGAAUUAUUGGGCGUAAAGGGCGCGUAGGCGGCCUGGCAAGUGGAAGGUGAAAUCCCUCGGCUUAACCGAGGAACUGCCCUCCAAACUGCUUGGCUUGAGUCCGGGAGAGGUGAGUGGAAUUCCCAGUGUAGCGGUGAAAUGCGUAGAUAUGCGGAGGAACACCGAUGGCGAAGGCAAUCCCCUGGACCUGUACUGACGCUCAUGCACGAAAGCGUGGGGAGCAAACAGG
rnacentral:rRNA from 1 species